rnacentral:rRNA from 1 species
CCUACGGGAGGCAGCAGUGAGGAAUAUUGGUCAAUGGGCGCGAGCCUGAACCAGCCAAGUAGCGUGAAGGAUGACUGCCCUACGGGUUGUCACCUUCUUUUAUAAAGGAAUAAAGUGAGGCACGUGUGCCUUUUUGUAUGCACUUUAUGACUAAGGAUCGGCUAACUCCGUGCCAGCAGCGGCGGUAAUACGGAGGAUCCGAGCGUUAUCCGGAUUUAUUGGGUUUAAAGGGAGCGUAGGUGGGUUGGUAAGUCAGAUGUGAAAGUAUGCGGCUCAACCGUAAAAUUGCAAUUGAUACUGGCAAUCUAGAGGACAGUAGAGGUAAGCGGAAUUCGUGGUGUAGCGGUGAAAUGCUUAGAUAUCACGAAGAACUCCAAUUGCGAAGGCAGCUUACUAAACUGCCACUGACAUUGAUGCUCGAAAGUGUGGGUAUCAAACAGGAUUAGAUACCCGUGUAGUC